GCAGCUUGGUAAAGUCGAUCAGUUCAGUUCCUAACAUAUAGUAGUAGUGAUUUUACGCACACCAAGUUAAUGUGUGCAUGUUUGCGGGAUUCUAUAAGCAGUAGUAAUUACACUGACAUGAAGUCUUCGUGACCAAAUGUUAGCUAACUACCGCUAGUUUCUGGAGAUUAGUACUGACGUGAGCUUGUAACUACGGCAACGACGAAUGACGUGACUCGCGGGAGAAGUUAAACGACGCUGAAAGAAGGAGCUGCCUAACAACUGUGCAACAUGGAGAGACUUAAUGUAGGAAAAGAAAGGCUUGUCGUACCGACUGACUUCACCUCACCAACAGUUCAAAGGAAUGUCCAGGAGGACCUUGUACCCCCAUCCCAUUUUGCAUCUAGUGUGCAGUCUGCUGGAGCACAAAGAGGUUUUCCAACCUCCUGGAUAAACCCUGGUGUAACCUCAAUACCAUCAGGAGAUCCCAGUCCUGCCAAUCCAUGGCUCACCAUCACUCAGGCCCAACAGGAAAUCUUGGAAUUGAGGAAGGAAAAUCAGCGGAUUAUGAUGUUGCAUGAAAACAGCAUUAGAGGAAAGAUUGUGGAUCAUCCAUCAGAACUGAGGCCAAGAUCUGUAGAGAGAAGUGAGCAAUGGUGCAGACGGGAUUCAAAGUGGCAUCUAGAGGAAGAGAAGCAGAAGGCUGAAGCUGAGAGAUUGAAGGGGCAGGUGGAGGCUCUGAAGGAGAGCGAAGGAAGAAACCGAGAAGAGAUUAGAGACAGAGACAGCAUCUUGAACAGACGGAACCUUGAAUUGGAAACCAUGCAUGAAGAGCUAUCUAAGGCGAAGGCUGAACUCAGCCAAAUCAGAGACAGGCUCGUUCACAGCAGUGCGCAGGAGGAGAAAAUGAGCUCAGAGCUUGAAAGACUUAAAUCCAAGACUAGUGAGGAAGUUUCAAGGCUGAGAAGAGACGCAGACAGGAGGGAAGCAGAGACACAGGCGCUCGUCCUGAGGGCUGAAAUGGGCAAAUCACAGGCUGAGGAGGAGGCCAAACAGAAGACACUGCAGCUGUCAGAACAUUUGGAGGAAAUGCAGAGGAAGCAUGAGGAGGAGCUGCAGCGCUUGAAUGCUUCCCACACUGCAGAGUUAGCUUCUGCACGAAAAACCAAUGAUGAACUGCAGGACAGAUUUCAAUCAAUGACCUCAGAGGUGCUGCAGCUGAAAAACACUCUGAUGGAGGUAUCAACUGAGAGAGAUGGGCUUAAAGAACAUUUGAGCCAAAUGGGACAAGCUUUUGAAACACAAUCUGCAACACUGCAAAGCCUGAGAAAUUACAUCGGCCAGUUCUCCCCAGAGAAACAAGAGAAGGAGAAAUUAAAUGAAGCUGUUGAGAGGCUGAACAAGGAGAAGGCAGCUCUUCAGAUGACUGCAGAGCUUUUGACAAUCAGACUAAACUCUGUUAAUGAGAUACUCGCCCUCCAGGAAGAGAAAAUGGUGAUGAAGAAUUCUAUAGACUCGCAUAGUAUGAAGAAUGGACGUGAAGGCAUUCAAGUGAUAAAGCUGUGGAGAGAGAAAGUCUUCAAGUUAUGUGUUCAGCUUCGCUCAAAGGACAUCGAAUUAAGAAGAGAACAAGAAGAACUUCUUUCAAAGAUUGGAUCCUUGGAGCAGCAGCUCCAGCAGGAGCAGCACCGGGCCACUGUCCUCCAACACACUCUAGACGACAGGAUAGCUGAGCUGGACCUGGAGAGAGUGGAAAAGGAGACGUUGAAACAGGACAUGGCCCAUGCUCACAAGGAGAAUUCUCAUCUACAGUCACAGUGCAAGAACUGUGAGACUGAAAGUAAACUCCUGACAGAGGCGGUGCACAGAUUUAGGCUGGCAUUUGAAGGCAAGAUGGCAGAAGUGGAUGCAGCUCAAACAAGGCUCAACACUUUUACCCAGAGGCUUAUGUUCGCUAAAAGACGAGUGGAGACGAUCCAAGGUUUGAUCAUGAGGAGAGUGGCUUUGCAGAAAAUUCAGAAGGCCAGUAAACAGUCAGAACAGACUGCUGACAGCCUGACAAGCCUCCAGACACAGCUUAGUUUGGUGUGUGAAGAGAGAGACAAGCUCGCACAGGAGCUCAGAAGAACCCCAGAGCUCGUUGAGAAAGCUUUGGCUGAUCUGAAAGAAAAGUAUGAAAGCAAAUGGCGGCGGCAGCAGCAGGAGCUGGAGCAGAGCUGGGCAGAAGUUCGACAGGCUGCGGCCGAGAAAGACAAGGCCGAGCACAGCCUGCAGCAUAUCCAAGCCCAGCUGGAGGAGAGCAAGGUCAACCUGGAGAAACUCCGCUCUGAGCUGCUCAUACAGCAGGAGCACAGUGAGCAGGUCUUGCAGCAGAGGGUGUCUGAGACUGAGGACCGCUGUGACGAGAAGCUGAGAGAGAUGGAAGUUCAAGUCAGUACCGCCAGGAGAGAGCACACCAAAGCAGUGAUGACAUUGCGGAAGUUUGAGAGAGAUGCAGCAAGGAAACAGGAUGGAAUGAGAGAGACUCCGACUUUUGGGGUUUCACACACAAAGAGGAGAGUUCAAAAUACACAACUAAGGAAGGUGGACAAGGACAAAAACCUGCCUCCUGUCACUGCUGCUGAGCGAGAGCUGGCGAGAGUCUAUACAGGUGUUCACGAUGCAGAAACUUCACAAAAGUUUGCUGCUCAUAGAGAAAAACAAAAACCUCCAGAGAGGAGCAGCUCUGUGCAGGCAGGAGUCCAACUACCUGCAGAUGAGAGACUCCUGUCUGUUUUGGAGGAGCUUCACACGCUCAGUGUCGCAGUGGUGCACAGCUCUGAGGACUCUGCCGAGGAAGAGGAGGUGGAGGGAGAGAAUAACAGCACGGGCCCAUCCAUAGGCAGUCUGCACCACUGAUACCUGAAGCUGAGUCACAGGAGACAGUGGAAACCUCUUCAUUUGUACAAAAGGCUGGGGGUCAGAGGUGACUUGGAUCUGUGUCUGAGGUUGAUGUGAUCCAGUAAGACAGUGUUGGCGUCGUGGCAACCACCAUUGCUCCAUGCUGCAGCAGAGCCCGGUGGAUGGAUGUGCACUGCGGUGGCAGGCCGUGCUACAGGCUGGAACAGCAGUCACGGAGGAGCAGUGCAAGGAAAUGCAGCCAAGUAAACCCUAUUUAUAGAUGCAGGCAAUGUGGAGCAUUGUUUAAGAGGGGAUUGCAGUGCUUUCAGAGUAGUGGCCGUGAAUGAGGAAGACAUGCAUUUUAUUCAUUCAGUCUCUCUUGACAUCUCUACAGUAAACAUGUCAUUGACUGUGCGUUCUUUAAACAAUUCUGACAGUUAUCAUUAAGUCAUUAUUGUAUUUUAAGGUUUGGUGUGUAAUAUUUAAAAUGUGUUACUGGCAUAAAUUGACUAUACUUUUGUACAAAACUACAGAAACCCUGUGCUGAACUGUUUCUACAGUAGGACAAACCAGGCAGAGCAUGCGUUCCAUGUUUAGAAGCAGAAGUGAGCGUCCUCUGUUACACUGUUCGACAUAGAGCUGAACAACUCAACACUUUCACAUGAAACGUCGCAAUUUCAAACUGCACAGGCUGCAAAUAGAUGUUUCCAGUUUGGACUGGCCUUUGUUGUGCAAUUAAAAAAAAAGUUCUCAUCCUUGCCAUAUAAUAAAGAAUAGUUAAUAGUUUAAUGAUGCUGUGUGGUUACGUUCCAUCACAAUCUAGUACACAGAGAUUAUUAAACUGAAAAAACAAACUUAAUUAACAUUUAUUAUUAUUCAUUAUAUACAUAUAAUCUAGUAUGCAUGCACUGUAUUCACAUUGGAGGAAGUCAUGUAUGUGAAGCCAUCUUUUUUCUCAGCAUUUUAGAUCAGACUUGGACAAUAAGUCUGAUUUAUACUGAAUCAUGGUUUCUUUUCAGAGGGGCAAUGGUAAACACGUUGUUUUCCAUGCAUGAAGACGUCUCCUCCUGUGCCAAUCAGUCACCCUGUAUGAAGCUGUGAUUGCAAUUUUGAAUGCAGUGCUGAGUUGUCGUCAGUGCUUAUACGAGGUGUGUGAAUGAAUGAACAAAUGGUGUAAAGAAUACCCUUCAUUUGUAAUUACCACAGUGCAGCUGACUCACAAAAAAGGUUAUUGGCCUUAACGUUUGAUUAACCUGCUCAGGAUUCUAUCUGCAUCUCUAAUGGUGUCACAGAUGACUCUGAUUCAUCAGUUCACUGUUGGCAGUUAAUGUGGUUCGAUACAUAUAUGCAUAUAAUGCAUGUGCUUUAAUCAGCUGGCACAGUAGAGCACUGGAAUGAAUAUCAAAUAUCCUGCAGAGUAUGAGUGAACAGUUUUGGAGCUUAAGUAUUUGGGAACUAUGAAGAUCAUCAAUUGAAAAUCAGCCAAAGGACACAAAUCCUAAUGUAGAUUCUGUCCUUUCAAACAUCUGUUGUUGAGAUCACAUCAGGCAGACAAAGAGAUGAGGAGAAAACGGCACAUUUAUAAUUAAAAUUGCCAGACUCAUUUGUUUUGUUCUGCGAGCGCGUUGCCAAUGGGAGAUCCAGUAAAAGCCAUGGGGAUGUUUAAUCAAAUUUCCAUUAAUGUCUAUCUGUGCUGCUGCACCUUAGCUCCCUCUGGUUACCAACAUGCUGUUUAACUAAGGCUAAUGACCAGAUUUAAAAGCAUUGUCUAUUUGUGAGAAAUCUGUUCUAUGUGAUGGUUUGAUUACAUACUCAAUAUUGCAUUGGACAAGUGGACUAUUCCACAGUUUCAUUCACUACCACAGUCUUUUAUGCUCUUGAGAAGAAAAACCGUGGUUCAUUUAAAGCAAUUGAAAAUAACCCUUGAGUUUUUGACUCGACUAAUUACUUUAAAGCGCUGUUUUUCUGAUGUUGUUUUAUUCUGUAUUUUUUCUUAAUGUCUUGAUUGAUGUUUGAGGGUGUAUUAUUUUAAUUUAGUGCGAUUUAUAGACCUAAUAUUGAUUGAUUUCACCUCAAAGUUGACACUGUAAUGGACUCAUUUGCUCUGAGCCGUCAGAUAAAUAUGAAGUAAUGAAAGGACUUUGCCUUUGUCUGUUUAGCUGCGCCAAAGUAACAUGUUGGUUUCACUCAAUGAAGCACAGCAGUAUCCUCAGUAGGUGGUUGAGUUUUUUACUCCCCAAGCGACAUUAUAUUCUGUUUGUUUGCGCUCAUAAAUGCUUUCCAUUCAGUGUUUAACAUAAAAUGUAAUGCAACGAUAUGAAUACAAGUGCCUCUAAUAACCUUUGGAAGUAAAACAUGUCACCGAAUAACAUUUGAAUGGUCCAGAUUAAACAAAGUCUCCUAAGAAGAGCAGUUAAACGACAGACUAUAAGCUGUAGCCCAUUCAGAGGCUGAAUCUUUGUGGUGAACCAUAAAUACAGGCAUUUUUACAAGAUGCUGCAGGGAAUGAAACAUAAAAGGUUUUAUCAUGAAGUUUUACAGCAAUCAGCGAUCCCCUUUUAUCUGCUGACCUUUCUUGAUGUAGCUCCAGACCAUUUGUCGCAGCCCUGACGUUUGAUAACACAUCACUCAGCCGUGUCAUCAUUUGAUCUCCAGAGUUUUACGUGCGGCGCUUUCAGUGAUGCAUCUGUGUUGUCGUCGCACCUCAAACCUCUCUUGGGAGCCGCUGUUCCAAACGAGCCGGCCGAUCACUUGCUGUCCAUGGCUUUGGUGAAUAUUGUAUAUUCUAGUUAAUCCGCUGCUCAAUAUGCCCUCAGGUUUUUCCUCAGUACAUGAUAUUGGCUGAAUAUUAAAGGGAAAUUCGUCGCAGUCAGACCUGUGGUGCAUACGGAAGCAGCACAUAAUCACCCUUCUUUUUUUUUUUUUCUUCUUUUUAUAAGAAUAAAUGAUGGCCUCACAGAUACACAGAACACCGUUUGGCUUUAAAGUCACUGUUUACAAGUGUAAUUUCUCAACUUGGAUAAUCCAGUGCCAACAAAGUGGGCCAAAAAAAAAAAAAAUCAAUGAAGUCUAUGCACCACUGUGCAACACCUUGACUAGUUAUAUCAGACAAUAAAGCUGUCUAUAUUUUUUAAAAAUGCCUCAAAUCCUUUUUAUUUAGACAAACAUUUCUGACGCAGCAGGAGUCUGUCU